AUACGGAGGAUGCAAGCGUUAUCCGGAUUUAUUGGGUUUAAAGGGUGCGUAGGCGGAUGAUUAAGCGUGAGGUGAAAUGCCACUGCUCAACAGUGGAACUGCCUCGCGAACUGGUUGUCUUGAAUGCUCCUGCCGUGGGAGGAAUGUGUGGUGUAGCGGUGAAAUGCAUAGAGAUCACACAGAACACCGAUUGCGAAGGCAUCUCACGAAGGGGUGAUUGACGCUGAGGCACGAAAGCGUGGGGAUCAAACAGGAUUAGAUACCCUGGUAGUCCACGCAGUAAACGAUGAUAACUAACCGCUGGGUCGUAGUGAUUCAGUGGCCAAGCGAAAGCGAUAAGUUAUCCACCUGGGGAGUACGACCGCAAGGUUGAAACUCAAAUGAAUUGGCGGGG
rnacentral:rRNA from 1 species